rnacentral:rRNA from 1 species
AUUGAACGCUGGCGGCAUGCCUUACACAUGCAAGUCGAACGGUAACAGGUCUCCGGCUGCUGACGAGUGGCGAACGGGUGAGUAAUACAUCGGAACGUGUCCAGACGUGGGGGAUAACGAGGCGAAAGCUUUGCUAAUAUCGCAUACGAUCUAAGGAUGAAAGCAGGGGACCGCAAGGCCUUUCGCGUUUUCAGCGGCCGAUGGCGGAUUAUGUAGUUGGUGGGAUAAAAGCUUACCAAGCCGACGAUAUGUAGCUGGUCUGAGAGGAUGACCAGCCACACUGGGACUGAGACACGGCCCAGACUCCUACGGGAGGCAGCAGUGGGGAAUUUUGGACAAUGGGCGAAAGCCUGAUCCAGCAAUGCCGCGUGCAGGAUGAAGGCCUUCGGGUUGUAAACUGCUUUUGUACGGAACGAAAAGGCUCUGGCUAAUACCUGGGGCACAUGACGGUACCGUAAGAAUAAGCACCGGCUAACUACGUG